CGCGAGUACAACAGUUUCUUUCUCCUGCAGGCUCGAUUCAGGUGCGAUUUGCCAUCCGCCGCGCGCGUCCGCUCUUUUUCGUUAUCGUACAUGCAUGCGUGCGGGCGUGCGUGCGUGCGUGCGUAUAUGCAUGCGUGGGCGCGCGCGAGUGACACGUAAGAGAACAUAAAAAGGCGCGCCCUGAUCCCCGUAUCGUGAUCGAUCGAUCGAUCGUGCGACACGACUCGGUGCGACGCGACACGGUGCAGUCGCGCGGCUUCUCAAUACAAGUACAACGUAUGUACGCACGUUUUUUCGCGUAAUACGGACAAAAUCUUCUCACGAAGAUAGAAAUAUGAUAAGAGAGCAAAUCUUUGUGCAACGAUAGGGACUAGGUAUCCCUCAAAUGUGAGUGCGACGAGUAUUUCCGGAUUGGAAAGAAAAAGGUGUGGAUGACGAUAAUGACGAUGAGAAAGACGACGUGACCUUCGAUUUGAAGCGAGUAUCGUGAGCAUCGGUCGAGGCACUAUGUCGACGAGUUCGCUCUUUUACAAGGACAAAUAUGUGGAUCAGAUAAUGAACGCACUCACGUCAUAUCAUCGUAUAACACACAGAUGAUGAACAAAACUUUCAAUUGAAUUAAUAAAUCACGCAAUAAGUUUUCUAUGAUCUAUCUCAUGCAAGGAAGUGGACGCGGUAAAUAACGCAAUUACUUAAAAAUAUCUAUUAAUCAGGUUUAAAAAAUGCAACGGCGUCAUCCAUGUUAUAUGCAAUUACACCUAUUUACGCCUAUGAACUUAUGCGCUUCUACGCACUUGCCUAUGCGCCUAUGCAUCCAUAGAUGCACUUCUGCGCGAAGCGAGAAACUCCACGGCUGCGGUAAAAGCGGUACAUCUAUGUAUAACGACGUGCUUUCACUCUAGCCUCACGAACUCAGCAAAAUCGCAGUUCCGCGUCUAAGUAAUAAUGAUGUAUCGUCGAUGCGUAUCGGCAUAAUUGCGAUACAAAUCUAAUUGUAGCCGGUCGAUCAGUUAUUAUCCACGAAUGACUAACGCCGGAUAAUUAUAUCGUCAUGCAACAAUUGUGUCAAUAUACGUUUCCGCGAAUGGUUGCAAUGCGAAUAAUACCAUCUGCUGACUACGUAUUCGGCAUACUUCCAAAUCUCCAUAAUGUUAAUUAAAUAAAGAGCAAUAUAGCUGCCAUCGAAAUUGAUCGCGCUCUCUAAUCUCCAAUACAUAUAUGUAUAUCUUUAUUUUUUUUCCUUUUUCUCUCUUUCUCUCUCCCUUCCCUGUUUUCCUCUUUGGAAACGUGAAUAUAAUCUCGGUCAAACAUCCGCGUUCACCGUAGCCGGCAAAAUUUACCAUAGGGUAAUAACAAUAAUGUAUACGUCGUAGAAAAACACAAAAGGUGAUGUGUUACAAGGUCAAAAAUCUCAUAUCUUGUUAAUGUAUCUGCCGAUAUUUAUGAGACUCGAAUA